rnacentral:rRNA from 1 species
ACGAUCUACGGAUGAAANCGGGGGAUCGCAAGACCUCGCGCGAUUGGAGCGGCCGAUAUCAGAUUAGGUAGUUGGUGAGGUAAAGGCUCACCAAGCCGACGAUCUGUAGCUGGUCUGAGAGGACGACCAGCCACACUGGGACUGAGACACGGCCCAGACUCCUACGGGAGGCAGCAGUGGGGAAUUUUGGACAAUGGGCGCAAGCCUGAUCCAGCAAUGCCGCGUGCAGGAUGAAGGCCUUCGGGUUGUAAACUGCUUUGUACGGAACGAAACGGUGAGCUCUAAUACAGUUUGCUAAUGACGGUACCGUAAGAAUAAGCACCGGCUAACUACGUG